CACAAGUCAGAGGGCCUGCCCAGCAUUGUGUAACAUAAAUUCAGAAAAAGAAAGUCUCCUUUGCCCUGGGCGGUCUCCAGCAGGCCGUUCACGAAAACCACUCUGGACCUGGUGCUUGAGCUGAGGUUGCACGGAAGAAAUGAACUUGGAGAUCCCAACAGCUGGAGGAGGAUGGCCAGCAAGCUGGGACAAAGCACCCCACUUCCUCUCUUGGCUGUCAACUUCAACGGCACAAAAUGCUCGUUUUGUCAGAGAGGACUCCCGGGGCUGGGCUGGUGUUUGGAAGAGCCCUCUUGGAUGGACAGCAGCCGUAAAUCACCACACAACUUCUCUCUGGGAGUCCUCGGCACCAAGGUACAGGGAUGGAUUUCUCAGGCUGCUGGCGUAGCACAGCUUACUUUUGGGAGGCAAGAGAAAGAAAGACACCAAAAGGCUUCACAAGCUGAGCCAGGACCCCCCAAAAGAAGGAAGCAGGAGGUGCUUCUUUGAGGAGGGGCCCAACAAGCUGCUGGAACAUCUGCAGGCUGGGUAGUCCUCCAGGGAGCAGGGAGAGGACCCGGCAGGAGGCAACCUUUCUCCCCUAUUUCUGAGUCUGCCUUGAGAAAUAGGAAUGCUGGGGAGGCCCAGUCAGGGGACAAGAAUGCACCCUCCCUUUCCCUGGCCACCCCUCCCCCACGUGCUUCCUGAGACAGGAAACUUUAAAUUGCUGGGAUGGGCCACCCUAAUUGCUACUCUUUUAAUAACUUGGUUCACUCCUUGCAGCCUCUGUAAACAUUUUAGGAGCAGCAGACUCGUAGCAGGAGCGGAAGCAUAUCCUCACAGGAUGGCCUCUCUCCUACCAUGAGCAGUCAGAGGACCAGCCAUAGCCAACCAGCAACACGCCUGCCCUCCUCUCCACAGCCCUGAAAAAUCCCUGGAACUGAUACUUACAGGUGUCCACUUAGUGUCCCCAAUACCUCCACUGAGGGGACCACCUGAUGCCAUCGGCCCAUGAGCAUCCCCUUGCUGGUGUCUUUAACACAGGGCCUGCUCCAGCCCAGAGCCACAUGGCCCCCCACUGUGCUUCUCUUUCUCAUCAUGAUCCUAGAAAUGACCUAGAGAAGACCCCUCAUUUUAUAAAUAAGAAUUCUGGGAGCACCAAGGUCAAAGGAUUUUUCAAGACAGUGCAGCAAGGUAUUGUCAGAGCAAGGGCCCCAGGACAGGCCUCCUGCUUCACCUGGGACGCCCCCUGCCACACCAGCUGUGGUUCUGGACUUACCCACAACCACCAUGGGGUUUAGGCUCCGGGCUUUCAGAGCCAGCUUCUUAGGUGCAGCCUCCACGAGGUUUUUAUAUCUUCCUCAGAAUCUCCAUAUGGAGGGGACGAGUGGAAUGAAUUAUUUGAAAACCAGUGAAGUCAGAGAGGAUUGGAAGGUACACAUGGAUUCAUCUGGACCCACCUUUUUCUUUAAACUGUUCUUUUUUGUGCAGUCGCUUUGUUUAAUGGUGGACUAGGAGUUCUGAAAUUUGUUUUAUGUGGUUUAUGAUACUUGUGGUUUGGUAGAAGCUCAGAUCCUGGAUGCAAAUGUGAGUGAGAGGGUUUGAGAGGUAUUUGUUGGUUGGUGGCAAGAUAAGAUAUUUUCUAUUUUUCCUACCAUUAAAACAAACAAACAAACAAGCCUGUCUAAUCUGCCUUUCUAGGAAGGACUUGGACUGGAGUUAGGCAGUCCAUCUCAGAAAUAAGGUGACCAGUGUCAGGGGACAUAUAGGACAGCAAGGGAGAGAGGUGCUGUCAGUUCUGAGACCAAGGACAAGGGGCCAAGUCCAAAGGGAUCAGCAGUGGUUGAAGAACAGGUUCCCAGAAUUGAAUGGAACUGGGUUUGAAAUAAAAACAUGUUAAGAACUAGAAAAGGGGUUUUCUCUAAGUCGUGGGCACAACUCGGUGUUUGCAGGUGUUCUCUUUGGUGGAUGGAGCUGGAAUGGCUAACAUCGGCAGGAAUCAACUCAAGAAGGUAAUUUUUCAGUGAGGAGAUUUGUUAUGAGGAGAGAGAUUUAUUAGAAAUAAUUCAAGGUUGAUAUUGUUUUAGUAGAAACUUUCCCAAGAAUACAUUCACUCUGAGAACUCUGGGCAUAAGACAUUUGGGACUUCAGCCAUAGAAAUAGGGAAUGAAGGGUUAGAAAGCUGAAGUAGGGUAAGAUGGGGGAAGGCUGCUUCACUGGUCAUGGGAGUCACAACCCAGCAGGAGAAGACCAGUACCCACCCAACCAAAGAUGUGGUUUAAAGGAACGUCAGUACUAGGUGGGUGUGGGGCACCAGAAGUGCCCCCAAGGGGCUGGUGGGUGUUUAGAUGGUGAUAAAACUUUAGGCUCUGCAGGCAGGCAGGCCUGGGUUUGAAUUCUUCCCCCACAUCCCAGUCUGGCCUUGUGACCUUGGGCAAGUUUUCAGAACUCUGGAUGGCAAUUUUUCUGUCUUAAAGGACUUAGUUUAAAUGUUGGUCACAGCAGUGCUGACCUGAAGUGAUAGAAAAAACAGGAGGAAGAAAAGGGAGAAUGGAAAGGGGCACAGAAAGAAGAGGGGACAGUGGAGGAAAGGAGCUGUGGUGAGCCCCAGGUGCUGAGGCUUAGCCCGGGUGGAUGUGACAAGUGAGCAACAUUGGCAGCUCCCGUGUCAGACCAACACUGGAGCCUCAGCUCGGGGUAGGUUUGCUCAGAUUCUUGUGUUCUAGCUCAGGAUGGCCUUGGACCUCUGCUGCAAGGGCAAUGCCCAUUGACAAGAGUCUGCAGGGAGAUCGAGAUCGAAAAUGUUUAUCAUAAAGAUACAUUAAGGAUAAAAUAAAAUAAAGCGCCAUGAUGGGUGACGAAUGCUCAUCUAACAUUCAGGACACUUGUGCAAUGUUAAAAGGACACAUUGAGAAAAUCAAAGCUUUGCUGCUAGAGUUGAAUGCUAACCAGAUUCAGGGAGGAAGUUGACACCUGUCGUCCCAGAACUCACCUUGUGCUACACUGAAGCCUUCAUUUGAUAGUUGUCCCAGGCAAUGAAUAAAGGCCCUUUCCUCCAACAUUAAAUUGGUGUGAAAAUUUGAAAGAAGCUCAAGGAAGCAAAUAAAAAUUUAAAAAUAACAGCAAAACAAAAGGAAGAUAAAAAAGACAGACACUGCAAAACCAAGUGACAGGGAGAGACAGAAAAGCAAAAAAGAGACCAAAAAAAAAAAAAAAUAGGAAAGAGGGAAAGAGAUGCAGAUUAUAAACUAAGAGACCUUGGCUAUUUUCAAAUCAAGCCUGUCUUUUUUCCCAUAAUCACAGUUACUUCAUAUCCUCCCAAAGCUGGCAUGUUUCUCCUGGGAAGAUAAAUCCUUUCUGGCAAGCUGUCUGCGUUCGAGCUGAAGCAGGAAGCCCCAGUCAUCAUAGCAUUAUGCAAGCCUGUGUCCGGCCAAUAAUUGCCUAUCUGACAUGCUGGCCUCCCACAUUCCUGAGAUUCAUCUAGAACAGCCAGAAGAUUAGAUUAGUGUGUAUUUUCAGCUAGAGCCGCCAUCACUGCUUGCUGGUGUGCCUCCUGUUAGCUGGAUCAGGACAGGGCCCGUCUGUCAGCCAAGGCCCGCCCGUGGGCCCCUGCCUGUCCAAAGUGUCUGUCUCCUGGGCAGCGGGUUCUUCCUGUGGAAAGGAGGAGCCACAGAACUUUAGGGAGGACUGGUUUGACAUCCCUGCCACCAACAGUGUCCUGUGGUGGGACUCCAUGACCACAAAGCGACCAAGAAAGCUCCAGGUGACCAAGUCGUCCUUCCUGCCAAGUUCACAGAGCACAAGCCAAAGUUCAGGGAAACAGGGAAGGAGGCCCGGGUCUGCACCACCCGCUGCGCCAGCAGAGGUGUUUCUUCACUUUGCUAAGCCUCCGUCCCUUCACGUAUAAAUUAGGCAAAACAACAGCCACUGCUUCAGGUUACUGAUGCUUAAAUGAGAGGAUGUGUACACAAAGCCUCGGCUCAUAGUCCCUGUGAAGAGGUGCUGUUUUUGCCUCCUGGACAUUUGUCAAGCGUGCUCCAAGGUUUGCAAGCUCCUGCAGGACAGACAAUGGUGCCCUUCUUCAUCCCCGAGCCCACCAGGGGGCUCUGUGCCCAGCCAGUCAGGGCCUUUGGGUUAAUAUUGAAGGAAGGAAGGAAAAGGGAGGGAAGGUCACUGAAACAGGAGAGAAGAAAAUGGGAAGAGAGGAAGCGAGGAAGGGGGAAGGAAGUCAGCCACGCUGGGGACAGAGCAGAUGCCGUGACCUCACCACUGGAUUUUCUCCUACUCCUUUUAAUCCUCUAUUCUCUCCUGCUGAUGUCCACUCUGCUUCUGCUUUUAUACCAGUGGAGCCAUUGCCUGGGCUGUCCUCCUUCAUCAUCCCUAGAUCUCAAGUCACCUCUCCGGGCAGCCUUCUUGACUGAGCGAGGGUAUACCAGGGCUAACUUCAAUGAUUCUGCUGUUGUACCUAAUUCAUGUCUCAAUUACCUCUUCCCAGGACUUUAUUCUGGGAGUCCCAGAGCCAGAGUUUUGAGACAAAUGCUCCUGGCAUGACCUAUAUUCUUGAGUCUUAGGACACAGGAGUCUUUGUUUUUUACCAGUACUUCAUAAACUGUGGGCCAUUUUUUUUUUUUUUUGGUACGAGAGAUUGAACCCAGGGACACUUAACCACUGAGUCACAUCCCCAUCCCUUUUUUAUAUUUUACCUAGAGACAGGGUCUCACCGAGUUGCUUAGGACUUCACUAAGUUGCUGAGGCUAGAUUUGAACUCUCCAUCCUCCUCCCCCAGGCUCCUGAACCUCUGGAAUCACACCCAUGCACCACCAUGCACCACCAUGCCCAGCGGACUAUGGACCUUUGAUAACUGUCAAGUACUACAGGUGUUUGUUCAGAGGAUAAACAUAUUUCUGUCAAUAAAAUCACAUUUAAUCCUGUACCAAGAGACAGGUUCCAAGGUGCAUCUAUGACAAAAUGAAGAUUUUAAAUGCCAUCAGUAUUUAGAUUCUGUUGCUCAGCACUAUCCCUUCCUUGACCCAGCCUCUCCGCCACUGUCCUAUGUGUCAGCAGGCUUGGGAUGCUGGAACAAAGUACCACAAACUGGAUGUCAGAAAACAAUGAAAAUAUACUAUCAUAGAGUCCUGGAGGCUGGGGACCUGAAAUCAUGGGCCAUGGGGCCAUGCUUCUUGGGAAAUCUGCAGGGCGUCCUUCCUUGCCUCCUCCGUGGUUUGCUAGAAACCCGUGGCAUCCCUCGGUGUGUGGUUCCAUCACUGUCAUCCUGUUUUCUCCUGGGGCUCUUCCUGUGCAUCUCUGUGUCUCCACAUGGAUGUUUUCUGAUAAGGACACCACUCACUUCAGACACAGAGCCUGCCCUACUCCUCGGUGACCAAAGUGAACUAGUUAUACCUGCAACAGCCCUAUUUCCAGAUACGGUCACAUUCUGAUGUACUGGGAGUUAGGGCUUCAAUGACUAUUUUUUGGAGGACAAGGUUCAGUGCAUACCACACUGUAUCAUCACACAGCAAAUGCCAGACAACCAGGAGCAGAGAAAUGAGCAUUAGAAUGGACAGAAGGAAGAGGUGGCUGAGAAAACGCAGAGAGACCGGGGAAUUACUGGCUUUCUCCUGAUGCGCCAGCAGAGGACUCGAUGCUGAGCUUUCUCAAAUGGAGCUUAGCAGUGAAGGUGAGGGCCCUGGAGCUCCGGAAAGGCCACCAAGGAAGAGGGCCUUGAAGAACGAGGAGGGGAGGGCUGUGCGGUUCGCAGCUUCGGAUGGUUGCCACGGAGGUUCGUUAGGCACAACUUGAUGAAGGGCACCCUUGGGAGGUUCUCCCAGCACCGUGCACGGAGCCAGUGGGAGUUGUUUAAAAUGCGGGCCUUUAACUGCUUUGCUUGAGGCCAAGACACUGUGCCAGGGUUCAGAAGCAUUUGAUGGCACUUUUGCGUUCAAAGCACUCAGAGACACCGUGCUUAUUCCCAAAGUGGGAUAUUCCAUGGGCUAAGUAGGUCAGUGACAAUGAGCUAUUGAGGGGCUUGACAACUGCAGCUAGCCGAGAAGACACACAACGAACGGAAUCCCUUUGCCUUCCUCUAAUAAAAGCCACUGGGGCGAGGGGCGGGGGGAACAUUCCUGGGGGUAAAAGAGAUAGCUCUAGAAAAGAAAAGAUAACUGCAAAUGCAACGAAAACCCACAUGAAUGGAUGUAGCACAAAAGAACUGGGUCUCUGGAAUCAGGGGCCUAUUUUCCUAACAAAACAGCACACCCUUUGUGGGGCACCCAGGGCAUAUUAGUUUCUUACCGGAUUUUUUGGUAGGCAUAACUCUGAGAUCAACACUUUCACUUUUUACUGAUUUUAAACCUGGAGGGAGUGGGCCCCUUACACCAGAUACCCUUCUAACAACCUUUCCCACAGUCAUACUGGAUGAUUGCCCGGGCUGGGGGGUGAACCUACUUCUCUGGCCCUCUUCAACUUUCUGGUCUGAUGGCAGGGAGAAGGGUACUGAGCUUUACCAGAUAUUGAAAGGGCUUCCCCGGGAGCAGGUUCUCAGCACAUGUUCAUUGAAAACUGAACAACCCCACUGGCACACAAGUAGCAGUACUGAACUCUUUUCAAUGGGGAGAUUCAGGGGGGACUCAUGCCCACCUGCUCUCUGGAGCCCUUGAGGCCCCGGAGCUCCUGGGUAGAGCUGCUCCUAACACUUCUCAAGGGAAUUUCCACAUCCAGGACACUGCCCUGCUGAAAGUUAGCAACUGGGUGGCCCCUUCCAAUUAGGACUGCUGGAUUCGGAACUUAAAUGCGUAUAAUGAUCAUUCUUAAUGCAUGUGCUUUACACUCUCAGAGGCUUCCAUCUUCAAAGUGCUUUAUGAACAUUAACUAAUUAAUCUGGGAUACAAAUUGUGCCAAGGCCCAGAGGGCUUAAACUGCUCAGAUCUGGGGCGGUCUCUGUUGAGGGUAACUUCAAGCAAUGCAUGGAAACCCUUUUGCUUGGUGUACGUGGGUGGGGCUGUCAGCAAAGUGCCAUCAACCCACUGCAGACACUGCCCAGUGUCUGGCCCAGUGGGCUACACCUGCACUUGAGGCUACAAAGAAGAGGAAGCCAGAAGCUCUUUGACAAGGGAGUGACACACUAAUGGCUAGCAAACAUUAUGCUUUUAAUAAAAAAUAAAGCUUCAUAGGCAUUUAUUUGUUCAAAUAGGUCACAUUCAAGCUUCCAUUGCAUAAAUGAAGAAAUAGGCUCAGAAUGGCAUAAGAAAGAGCCUGAUUUACUAAUUACCCAAGAAACAUUUCUUACCAAAUACAGUAACAGAAGUGACUUACGUAACCCAAAACUUGAUGUUAAAAUAAGUAUGAGAAGUAGAAAUAAUCGAUGCUAGAGACACUCAGAGGUAAAAGGUAAAAUUUCCUUUGGAUAGGUGAAGAAGAUUUGCUUGGAGAUCAGUUUUGUGUUGGACUUCAUUUACUUACUUAUUGAUUUUAGUGAUUUUACUAAGGCAUAAUUUACAUAAUAAACUGCAUAGGACUCAAGGGUACAUGCAAUAGAACACAAUUGUGGUAUAAGUGGUAUAUGCGAUAGCACACAAUUGUAUAUUAAGUGUAUCCAUCACUUCUAAGUCUCUCAGUGUUCCUUGAAAAUUCCCUUUGUAACCCCAUGCCCCAACCCAUUAGCAGGUAAUCACUGAUCAGUUUUCUAUCAUGACAGACAGGUAUACAUUUUCUAGAAUAUAAUAAAAUGGAAUCAUAUGUUAUGUUUGCACAGCUUCUUUCACUUGUGCAAUUACUUUGCAGUUCAUCCACAUUGUAGGGCAUACCUAUUGCUGCUCACACCCUGUUACUGACACAUAGCAGCACAUUCUGUAGAUCCACACAAUAGCAUCAUGGUGAAUAUUCAUGUACAAGUCUUUCUAAGGACCUAUUUCCUGGGAGUGAAAUGGCUAGGCCACGUGAUAAGUCAAAGAUUACUUUAGAAACAGUCAAAGGGAUUUUCAAAAUAGCCAAACCACUUUACAUGCUCAUCACAGUAUAGGAAAGUCACCAUAUGGUAUAUUUACACCAGCAAUUGGCAUAUUACAUCUUUUUAAUUUUUAGGCAUUCCUAAAAUUGUGUAGCAGUAUUCUCAUUGAGAUGGUAAUUUUCACUUCCUUAAUAGCUGAAAAUAUGUCCAGCAUUUUUGAGGUGUUUAUUUAUAAUCCCUAUAUGUUAACCAUUGUAUUUGGUCAAACUCUUUGACAAGUUGUAAAAAUUGGGUUGUUUGUGGUUUUAUUGGUUAUAUAUUAUAUUAUAAACCUCAAAUAUGUUAUUUGUAAAUACUUUUCCCAGGCUUCAGUUUAUCUUUUCCUUAUUUUAAUAGUGUAUAAGAACAAGUUAUUAGUUUUGAUGAAGUUCAAGUUAAACUUUAUUUUUAACGGAUCAUGUUUUUGAUAGGUAUCUAAGAAAUCUUUGCCUAAUUCCAAAUUACAAAGGUUCUAUCUCAGGAUACUUCUACAAGGGGUAUAGUUUUAUCUUUAUGUCUGUGAUGUUUUGAGCUGACUUUUAUAUACAUGUGAGGUAUGAAUCCAAGUGUAUCUUUUUUACGUAAGGAUAUAAAAUUCCUUUAUCAUUAUUCCUCCACUGAAUUGCCUUUGCAUUUCUGUCAAAAAUUAGUUGGGAAUAUCUCUGUUGCUCUACUUCUGGACUUUUAUGUGAAUUUGAGGUGUUUGUCUGCGUUAACCCAACACACUAUCUUGACUGCUAUAGCUUUGUUCUUUUUCCAACUUGCUUGGCUCGUCUAAGUACUUUGCGUUUCUACUUGAACUGUCAAGUCUGCUUGUCAAUUUCUGGAAAAACAUAACAAAACAAAAACCUUUAGGACAUCUUGACUGGAAUUUCUUUGAACCUAAGGAUCAAUAUGGGGGAAGUCUGAAUCUUACACAGUAGCCUGUUCCAUGAAUGCAGCGUAUCUCUUCAUUUCUCUUGGUAAUGAUUCGACGUGCAAUUUCUGCCUGAGUGUUGUUUGCUAUUUUUAUUAUUCAUUUCAUACCUAUCUUUUCAAAGACUUUUCCCCAAGUUCUUUAUAUCCUUCAAUGCUAUAGUAACUGAAAUUGGCAUUUCAAAUUUCAAUUGGUGAUUUUCCAUAGCUAGUUUUUGGAAAUACGAUAUAUCUUUAUAUCCUACCAUUUUGCUAAACUGACUUAUUUCCAGUAGCUUUUUAUGCAGAAUUUAUUGAAUUUUCUGCAUGGAUGACUAUGUUAUCUUACACAUAAAGACAGUUUUACUUCCUCCUUUCUAAUUUGGAUGCUAGCUGGUAUUUUUGUUUAUUUGUUUUCCUUAUUGCACUGGCUAGAAACUCCAAUAACACUAGUGAAAGCAAACACCCUUUCCUUGUUCUCCCUCUGAAGGAGAAUAGGUCCAGUCUUUCCCCAUUACCUGUCCUGCUUCCUGGAGCUUUAUAGUGUCACCCUUUCUCAGGUUGAAAAACUCCUUUCUGUCCCUAAUUGGUGAGGGUUUUUAUCAGAAGAGGAUGCUGGAUCUUGUCAAAUACUUCUUUAGCAUCAACUAAGAUAUGAUUUUUAAAAAUCUGUUAAUAAGAUGAGUUAGACUGCUUUCCAAAAGUUCAAGCAACCUUGCAGUCUUGGUGUACCUCAAUUGUGUUAUGUUAAUUGACAUUUGCUAAGCACUUUGCCUCAGUAUUUAGGAGAGAUGCUGUUUGAUGGCCACUUUUCCUUCUGUCUUUGCUGGCUAUUCUCUUAGAAGGAGUUGGUAAUCUUUCUUUUCCCUCAACUUCUGAUUUUUUUUUGUAGAAUUAAUGUGAAAAUUAUUGUUAAAAAAAUCACUAGUUUGAAUAGUGAAAUAUAUUAGGAGCUUGUUUGAAUGAAUUAUUCAAUAUUUAUAAUAAAUACUUACCUUUUUGAGCUCA